UAGGUUUAUUUUAAAAGAAAAAUAAGUCCAUUACAAUGGAUGCUAAUGGGACUUCUGCGACUAUAUGGUGGCAGCUACUUUGUGGUGGGCGUGGUGGUGGUGAGGGCUUGGGGCACCUUCUUUGUGGUGGGCGUGGUGGGCAUGGUGGGGGUGGUGCGGGUGGCUUGGAGCAGCUACAUGAUGGUGGCCGUGGUGGUGGUGGUGGUGAGGGCUUGAUGCAGCUACUUGGUGGUGACUGCCAUGAUGAGUUGGUGCAACAACAGGGUUGCCGUGAGAUUCAACAGAUUCGAUGACAUUGAACUUGGACUGCGUAGGCAGGUGGUGGUGGGGGCUUGGAGCAGCCACAUGAUGGUGGCCGUGGUGAUGGUGGUGGUGAUGGUGGUGGCCAUGGCGGUGGUGGUGAGGGCUUGAUGCACCGUGACUUUCAUGAUGAGUUGGUGCAACAACAGGGUUGCCAUGAGAUUCGGCAGAUUCGAUGACAUUGAACUUGGACUGCGCAGGCGCAUGGUGGUGAUGGUGGUGGUGGCGGUGGUGAUGAUGUGGGCCUGGAGCGGCUGCUUUGUGGUGGCUGUCGUGGUGAGUUGGUGCAGGAGCUAGGCUUUCAUGAGAUUCAGUAGCUUCAAAGACAUUGAAACUACAAUAGAAAA